UUUCUAUCAUAUGUAUAUAUAUAUAUUCUUUCAACUUGGUACCCAAAUUGCCAUUAUUAGAGCACAGGCAUUUAUAAAAGGUAGAAGUUAUGUCAAAUCCAUUGAUUAAGUCCCAUAUAAUAGCUAAGCUAUAAAUUUUUUUUAGUUACGAACUCAAUCAUCUACCUUGGCCUCUUCAAAGAAGUCAUAAAAGCUUCUAUCAAUAGCAAACCCAAAUAAAUUAUUUUCUUCUAAAUAGAUGAGCUGAGUGUUAGGUAUACUUAAUACAUUAAAACAAAUAUAGAAUUAAAUUAAAUAAUUUUAAUAUAGAAAAAGAAAAGGGUAUGCAAGUAAUUGCAACCUUCCACCUUUACUCUUUAGAUGUGUGGCUCCUGGGACUGUGGCAAAACCCCCAAAGGCUGACACAAGCCCACGUAGAGCAUCCACGGAGUGACAGGUAGAUGAGAUUACACUCAAAUGGAUUACGCUGCUUCAAGUCAUUGCAACUCUGCAACGGUUGAAUCCUAUCCUUGAAAAAAUAAAAAAAAGGGAGGAAAGAAAUAGACCGACAACGAAAUCAAUCACAGAAACUUGAUCUUCUUGCCAUCGCUGAUUUCCUUAAUCAGUUUCCUUACAAGCCACUUCUCUCUCUCUCCCUCCAACUCCCACAGGUUUAAAAACUCUUUUCAAUCCGUGAAGCUUCACAAAUUUUCAGUUUGUUUUUGUAUCUAGAGAGAAUGGCAAGUGGGGAUCCAGAGAGAGGGACAAAGAACAGAGGAUACAACACCGCAAACGUCCACUACGUGGAAACCUCGGAUAAGCUAUGGACAUCAUGGUUGAUUCCUAUAUUUGUUGUCGCUAAUAUUGCUGUGUUCAUUGUGGUCAUGUAUGUCAAUAAUUGUCCCAAAAACAAUCUGGAUUUUUAUGGUAAGUGUGUUGCCAAGUUCCUUGGCAGGCUAUCGUUUCAGCCUUUGAAAGAGAAUCCUCUUUUUGGUCCAUCUUCUUCCACAUUGGAAAAAAUGGGAGCCCUGGAGUGGAACAAGGUAGUGCAUGAGCAUCAAGGAUGGAGACUCAUCACUAGUAUGUGGUUGCAUGCAGGAGUUAUACAUCUGCUAGCAAAUAUGCUGAGCUUGAUCUUUAUUGGGAUUCGCCUUGAACAGCAAUUUGGAUUUGUGCGAGUUGGGAUAAUCUACCUAUUAUCAGGAUUUGGGGGAAGCAUACUCUCUUCACUCUUUAUUCAGCGAAAUAUCUCUGUUGGUGCCUCUGGUGCCUUGUUUGGCCUUCUUGGAGCAAUGUUAUCAGAGCUUCUUACUAACUGGACUAUCUAUGCUAACAAGGUCUGCUUUCUAAUCUUUGGUUUCCCUUGCAUACAUAUAAAACUUUUAUGCACACACGUUAGGUUUUACUUAUGUGUAACUCUUAUCUUCUCUUGCUCAUGUAGAUUGCAGCUCUAAUGACUCUUGUGAUCAUCAUCGCCAUUAACUUGGCUGUAGGAAUUCUUCCACAUGUUGACAACUUUGCACACAUUGGAGGUUUCUUGACUGGUUUUCUCCUGGGCUUCGUUAUACUACUUCGUCCACAGUUUGGGUGGCAUGAAAGCCGGCAUCUUCCAGCUGAUGCUCGUGUAAAAUCUAGGCACAUGGCUUAUCAGUAUGUGUUGUUGCUGGUUGCCAUGGUAUUACUUAUUGUUGGGUAAGUUCUAUUUUGAAAUCCCUAAUUCUCAUAGCAUGAACAUGACUGUUCUAGAUGAAUCUGAUACCUACAUUGAAAUCUUUUGCAAUUUGUUCACUGACUUUCUUAAAAGACGUGAAGUUAUUGCAUGUAUUCUAAUUUUACAUGCUUGUGGAGAUGAACCACAUGUGAAGUGGUAUGGUGGGAUAAACUAAAUUCCUGUUUCCUGUUAUGUUGCAGAUUUACUGUAGGAUUGGUGAUGCUGUUUAGAGGAGUGAAUGGAAAUGAUCACUGCAGCUGGUGCCAUUAUCUAAGUUGUGUGCCUACCUCAAAGUGGAAAUGUGACAAUUGAUGGAAGUUUUUCACCUUGUCUGUUUCUCGUUUCUUAGAUAAUUUGUAGGAACCUUGUUAUUGGAUUCUUUUUCUUUUUCUUCUCUAACCCUUUUUUUUAUUUUUAUUUAUUGUCAUUUUUUCAUUUGUUUGGGAUGCUUUCACACUUGUACAUGAAAAUAGAUCAUGGUACUGGGAUAAUAUUUGGACUUAAAAUUAUGUUGUGCUAUAUAAUGUUGGUUUCGCACUA
rnacentral:misc_RNA from 1 species